AAACCAAUCACCCCAUACCCCAAUCACAUCCCCCUGCCUCACACGCCAAUCAGAAGUUAUACAUUACCACGUUCUUUCCCACACCUCACACGACCACCACAAUACAAUCUUUCCCAACAUCCACAAUCGUUCAUCUCCUCUUUCACAUAACCCAUCUACUCUAACUCCACAAUCCUCCAUCUUGUUACUCUUCUCAUAUCAUGUCGAAGAAAUGCAUUGAAACGUCUCGUAAGAGUCCCAGAUUUGUUGAAGGAACUUUAUUAGAUGAAUUUCAUGUUCCAUCGUUCAAUAUAUCAACUCAAACUCCAUCGCCUAAAAUAGUUGAGAAUCUGAAGUCGGCGACUGGUAGUUUUGCUCAAUCCAAGGUUCAAAAAGUGAAAAAAAAAUGAUGUAAAGAAAACAGGGACUCUGGUAAAUCAGAAGGGAAAGAAGAGGGAGGAAAAAUUGUUGAAACCCCUUACGGAUCUGAUUAUGACUUUGUUAAUGAAACAAAAAAAUAAAUAAAAAAAUCAAUAAGUACCGACGUUUCUCAAUCUUCUAAACCUUCAAGACAAUCAACAAGAAGAUCAGCAAAAAGGAAGAAAUCAGAUGUACCAACUUCCAAAAAAGACAAAUAAAUUGUUAGGGCGAAGAAGAUAUACACGCAUUGGUCUUCAUGUACAAACAUGAAUGUUUUUGGUGAUCUGUUGAGUUUCCUCGGACAAGAGAGGUUUCAACAAUUUCAGGAACAAACAUCUUUUGGUAUAUUUUAUGAAUUACACAACAUACAGAUUCAAUGUAAACUAUUGUGACAUUUGUUUCUUCUUGAAUUUGAAAAUAUGAAAAUAAAUGAUAUAAAAUUACAUUUUGCAAUCAAGGAAUUCACAGCGA